rnacentral:rRNA from 1 species
CGGUAACUCCAGCUCCAAUAGCGUAUACUAAAGUUGUUGCAGUUAAAAAGCUCGUAGUUGGAUUUCUGCGCGGGCGGGGCGCCCGCUGGCCUAAGGUCAGGUUGGGCAGCAACGCCCACGCAUCCUGCCGCGAACCACGCUACCAUUAGUUUGGUGGCGUCUUGGGGACCGGCUCGUUUACUUUGAGAAAAAUAGAGUGUUCAAAGCAGGCAAUUGCCUUGAAUAAUGUAGCACGGAAUGAUGAUUAAGGACUUUGGUUCUAUUUUGUUGGUGUUCGGGACCGAAGUAAUGAUUGAUAGGGACAGUUGGGGGCGUCUGUAUUCUGAAGCGAGAGGUGAAAUUCUUAGACCUUCGGAAGACAAACAGCUGCGAAAGCGUUCGCCAAGGAUGUUCCCUUUGAUCAAGAACGAAAGUUGGGGGAUCGAAGACGAUCAGAUACCGUCGUAGUCUCAACUAUAAACUAUACCAGCUAGGGAUCGGCCAACGUUGAUUUAUAAAGACUUGGUCGGCACCUUAUGAGAAAUCAAUAGCAUUUGGGUUCCGGGGGGAGUAUGGUCGCAAGGCUGAAACUUAAAGGAAUUGACGGAAGGGCACCACCAGGCGUGGAGCCUGUGGCUUAAUUUGACUCAACACGGGGAAACUUACCAGGUCCAGACAUAGGAAGGAUUGACAGAUUGACAGCUCUUUCUUGAUUCUAUGGGUGGUGGUGCAUGGCCGUUCUUAGUUGGUGGAGUGAUUUGUCUGGUUAAUUCCGUUAACGAACGAGACCCCAGCCUGCUAAAUAGCGCGCGUGGCUCCUGGCCGCGGCGAGCUUCUUAGAGGGACUACGGUUCGCCAUAGACCGGGGAAGUUUGGGGCAAUAACAGGUCUGUGAUGCCCUUAGAUGUUCUGGGCCGCACACGGGCUACACUGACGCGUGCAACGAGCAUAUCAGCUGGCCCGAGAGGGCAUAGGCUAAUCUUUUGAACUCGCGCCGUGCUAGGGAUUGACCAUUGCAAUUGUUGGUCAUGCAACGAGGAAUGCCUUGUAAACGCGAGUCAUCAACUCGCAUUGAAUACGUCCCUGUCCUUUGUACACACCGCCCGUCGCUCCUACCGAUGAAUGUUCCGAUGAAAUUUUCGGAGGGCGCCUGUGAAGGGGCGCGAGCCCCGGAACGGGAGGCCCCAAGUUGCUUAAAUCUGAACAUUUCGAGGAAGGAGAAGUCGUAACAAGGUAACC